rnacentral:rRNA from 1 species
AGUGAACGCUGGCGGUAGGCCUAACACAUGCAAGUCGAACGGCAGCACAGUAAGAGCUUGCUCUUACGGGUGGCGAGUGGCGGACGGGUGAGGAAUACAUCGGAAUCUACUUUUUCGUGGGGGAUAACGUAGGGAAACUUACGCUAAUACCGCAUACGACCUACGGGUGAAAGCAGGGGAUCUUCGGACCUUGCGCGAUUGAAUGAGCCGAUGUCGGAUUAGCUAGUUGGCGGGGUAAAGGCCCACCAAGGCGACGAUCCGUAGCUGGUCUGAGGGGAUGAUCAGCCACACUGGAACUGAGACACGGUCCAGACUCCUACGGGAGGCAGCAGUGGGGAAUAUUGGACAAUGGGCGCAAGCCUGAUCCAGCCAUACCGCGUGGGUGGAGAAGGCCUUCGGGUUGUAAAGCCCUUUUGUUGGGAAAGAAAAGCAGCAGGUUAAUACCCCGCUGUUCUGACGGUACCCAAAGAAUAAGCACCGGCUAACUUCGUG